GAUGAACGCUGGCGGCGUGCUUAACACAUGCAAGUCGAGCGAAGCGCUUAAGUUUGAUUCUUCGGAUGAAGACUUUUGUGACUGAGCGGCGGACGGGUGAGUAACGCGUGGGUAACCUGCCUCAUACAGGGGGGAUAACAGUUAGAAAUGACUGCUAAUACCGCAUAAGCGCACAGCUUCGCAUGAAGCAGUGUGAAAAACUCCGGUGGUAUGAGAUGGACCCGCGUCUGAUUAGCUAGUUGGUGGGGUAACGGCUCACCAAGGCGACGAUCAGUAGCCGACCUGAGAGGGUGACCGGCCACAUUCGGGACUGGAGACACGGCCCAA
rnacentral:rRNA from 1 species